GAUGAACGCUGGCGGCGUGCCUAAUACAUGCAAGUAGAACGCUGAAGGAAGGAGCUUGCUCUUUCCGGAUGAGUUGCGAACGGGUGAGUAACGCGUAGGUAACCUGCCUGGUAGCGGGGGAUAACUAUUGGAAACGAUAGCUAAUACCGCAUAACAGUAGAUGUUGCAUGAUAUCUACUUAAAAGGUGCAAUUGCACCACUACCAGAUGGACCUGCGUUGUAUUAGCUAGUUGGUGAGGUAACGGCUCACCAAGGCGACGAUACAUAGCCGACCUGGGAGGGUGAUCGGCCACACUGGGACUGAGACACGGCCCAGACUCCUACGGGAGGCAGCAGUAGGGAAUCUUCGGCAAUGGACGGAAGUCUGACCGAGCAACGCCGCGUGAGUGAAGAAGGUUUUCGGAUCGUAAAGCUCUGUUGUAAGAGAAGAACGAGUGUGAGAGUGGAAAGUUCACACUGUGACGGUAGCUUACCAGAAAGGGACGGCUAACUACGUG
rnacentral:rRNA from 1 species